UACAGAGGUCUCAAGCGUUGUUCGGAUUCAUUGGGCGUAAAGGGUGCGUAGGCGGCGCGGUAAGUCGGGUGUGAAAUCUCGGAGCUUAACUCCGAAACUGCAUUCGAUACUGCCGUGCUUGAGGACUGGAGAGGAGACUGGAAUUUACGGUGUAGCGGUGAAAUGCGUAGAUAUCGUAAGGAAGACCAGUGGCGAAGGCGGGUCUCUGGACAGUGCCUGACGCUGAGGUGCGAAAGCCAGGGGAGCGAACGGG
rnacentral:rRNA from 1 species